rnacentral:tRNA from 1 species
GGAGAGGUGACCGAGAGGCCGAAGGUGCACGACUGGAAAUCGUGUGUCCCUUCACGGGGACCGCGGGUUCGAAUCCCGCCCUCUCCG